rnacentral:lncRNA from 1 species
AAGUUCCAGCAGCUUCCUCGUCGGUCGACAGUCAGUGGGAAACACUCACUCAGAAGGGAGCACGGUGGCCUUCCGCAACAGGUGUGAGCCUCUCACUGUCUUCUGGCAUCUGGAGGCUGAGCACGGGUCCCCGCUGCAGUGUGUUGAGAACUGGCUUCUGUACAGCCCCACGCACGUGGCUUUCGCUUUCCCUGGCACGUCCCAUAAAGGAGAAGAUGAUAGGCCCGCGAGUGCUAUUUUGGGGACACGGGUGAGACUCCCUGAUAGAGCCUGUCUCCCCAGCAGCCUCAGUCACAUGGCUUGAGUUCCGUUCGUGACGUUCUGGCGGCAACAAAGGAGACCGGUUGCACAGGUCGCGGUGGGCCUUUGUGGAGGACCGCCAAUCUCCCCCAAAUCACUGGCCUUUGAAUCUCUGUUGCAGCCAGCUUUCUUUUUGUAUAUCGGCUCCAUUUAAGGUGAUUAAAAUGGAGAUCGGAUUGGAUAAGGUCGUCCAAAUUCUGUAAACGCUGCUUUCACACAAAUGAACGCUUGCAAUCAAUUUAAUUUUUCAAAUAAAAUGAUUAAAUUCUA